rnacentral:rRNA from 1 species
GAACGACUCUCGGCAACGGAUAUCUCGGCUCUUGCAUCGAUGAAGAACGUAGCGAAAUACGAUACUUGGUGUGAAUUGCAGAAUCCCGUGAACCAUCGAGUCUUUGAACGCAAGUUGCGCCCGAAGCCAUUAGGCCGAGGGCACGCCUGCCUGGGUGUCACAC